GAUGAACGCUGGCGGCGUGCCUAAUACAUGCAAGUCGAGCGAACAGACGAGGAGCUUGCUCCUCUGACGUUAGCGGCGGACGGGUGAGUAACACGUGGAUAACCUACCUAUAAGACUGGGAUAACUUCGGGAAACCGGAGCUAAUACCGGAUAAUAUAUUGAACCGCAUGGUUCAAUAGUGUAAGACGGUUUUGCUGUCACUUAUAGAUGGAUCCGCGCCGCAUUAGCUAGUUGGUAAGGUAACGGCUUACCAAGGCAACGAUGCGUAGCCGACCUGAGAGGGUGAUAGGCCACACUGGGACUGGGACACGGUCCAGACUCCUACGGGAGGCAGCAGUAGGGAAUCUUCCGCAAUGGGCGAAAGCCUGACGGAGCAACGCCGCGUGAGUGAUGAAGGUCUUCGGAUCGUAAAACUCUGUUAUUAGGGAAGAACAAAUGUGUAAGUAACUAUGCACGUCUUGACGGUACCUAAUCAGAAAGCCACGGCUAACUACGUG
rnacentral:rRNA from 1 species